rnacentral:rRNA from 1 species
GGGAACUGCAUUUGAAACUGGCAGGCUUGAGUCUUGUAGAGGGGGGUAGAAUUCCAGGUGUAGCGGUGAAAUGCGUAGAGAUCUGGAGGAAUACCGGUGGCGAAGGCGGCCCCCUGGACAAAGACUGACGCUCAGGUGCGAAAGCGUGGGGAGCAAACAGGAUUAGAUACCCUGGUAGUCCACGCCGUAAACGAUGUCGACUUGGAGGUUGUUCCCUUGAGGAGUGGCUUCCGGAGCUAACGCGUUAAGUCGACCGCCUGGGGAGUACGGCCGCAAGGUUAAAACUCAAAUGAAUUGACGGGGGCCCGCACAAGCGGUGGAGCAUGUGG